rnacentral:rRNA from 1 species
AACGAACGCUGGCGGCAUGCCUAACACAUGCAAGUCGAACGAGACCUUCGGGUCUAGUGGCGCACGGGUGCGUAACGCGUGGGAACCUGCCCUUAGGCUCGGAAUAACUCCCCGAAAGGGGUGCUAAUACCGGAUAAUGUCUUCGGACCAAAGAUUUAUCGCCUUUGGAUGGGCCCGCGUUGGAUUAGCUAGUUGGUAGGGUAAAAGCCUACCAAGGCGACGAUCCAUAGCUGGUCUGAGAGGAUGAUCAGCCACACUGGGACUGAGACACGGCCCAGACUCCUACGGGAGGCAGCAGUGGGGAAUAUUGGACAAUGGGCGAAAGCCUGAUCCAGCAAUGCCGCGUGAGUGAUGAAGGCCUUAGGGUUGUAAAGCCCUUUUACCCGGGAUGAUAAUGACAGUACCGGGAGAAUAAGCUCCGGCUAACUCCGUG